AGUGUCAGUUUUAAGAUAAUAUGUGGAGCAGAACAUUUGAAAUUCACACAAAUAUUACUCCAUUGAUGGUUUCAUUCUGAAAUAUGUUUGAUUCAUUGUCAACAUUCCACAUCUCCAUGCUCUGGCAGCCACGUCACCAGUUUCAACUUUCCCUCUUUGGUGUUGCUUCCUGUCCCGUGCUCUUCUUUUGGCGCCACUUCCUGUUGUGUUGGUGUUUUUUCCUGACCGCUUCACACGUCUUUCUCUGAGCACUGAUGCACACACCUGUGCUUUCUGUUAGCAAUCACUUCUAUUUGGGUGUGAGCCGCCAUUCUUUGUUUGGAGUGUGCACGCUCUUUCCCUCCCGCCGUGAGUUUUGCUGUGUUCCAGCAUUCCGUUUUGUUGUUUUGCACCCUGUCAGUUUGGUUUUUGCAUAACCUUGCCUGUGCUUCACUGUCUUCCUAGCCACAUGAAAUACUUUUACCUGCACCUCUGCAUCUUGGGAACACGCCCGGAAUCGACGUCAUGCAACGCAGGCCCCUCUCCAUUCCAUACCUGGACCUGGCGCCAGCCGCCGUGUGAUCUGAUGUACAGAUGUCCGCCGCUCUCAGACACGUAGGCCAGGGUUCCCUCUGCAGCCCUCUGGGUCUCUCUGGUCAGAGCAUGGACUGUCUUGUAGGCGCUCACCUGGGCAGAGUCCGGGCCCAGAGGAGAAAACCUGGAGGUGGAACCGGAAGCUCUCGCUCUCACCCUACGACGGUAGAACAGGUGCUGCACUGCCCUUCUGUUUCCACUGAGCCUUCAACCGGAAGUAAAAGUCCAUAGCGUUGAUUCUUCACUCAUCACUCCAAUCGACGUUUUUCCACAAAUUGGAGUUAUUGAGUCUGUUUGGCUGAUUGAGAGCUAGCUUGCGCAGCUAGUGGGUCCAUGACUUCGGUUUUGUUUGAUCAGCCGUUUUACUGCCUUGUUACAGACACCGUUUGGAAAUAAUUAAGGUAUGUACAGAAUCUUACUGUGUAAAUGUAUAUAUCUGCGGCUUAUAGUCUCUGUAGUCGGGUAAACCACGAUGUAUUAACAUUUUUAGUCUGUAAACCACGGUGUAUUAACAUUAUUAUUAGUCUGGGUGAACAAAUGUGAAGCUAACCAAUGUCCAGCCUCAGAAG